rnacentral:lncRNA from 1 species
UUUAUAUUUUUUAGUUUUGUGCUGGGCCGGGCUAAACCCAGCCCAGCAAGUGGCUGGGCUCAGCUCAGCCCCACAGGGGCUGGGCUGAACCCAGCCAGCCUGGCCCGGGUCACUGGCCCAAGCCAGUGACCCGGCUAAAAACAGGAUGCACGCGUGAAACAAAUCACGCGUGCAUUCAACAGUGCGAAGGUAAUUAAAUUACCUUCGCACUGUUCAAACUUCAAACAAUUAAUUAGACACCGAAGAACAGAGAAAAAAUGGAAAAGGCGCACCUGUUUCUGGCGAUUGAAGAAGGCUGCAGCGCUGGUGGAGUUCGACUGCUUGUUGUUUCAAACAAUGCUGAGGAGGGUUGCAACGCUGGUGUGGGUUCUACUGCUUUCUGUCAAAUGCCAAUGGUUCGGUGAUCGAUUGGGAUCCUGUUUCAGAAGGCGGUGAAGAAGGCUGCAGCGCUGGUGGAGUUCGACUGAGUUCUGUUGAUAAUCGAUGGUUAGGGGAUUAAUUGCUUUCUUGUAGGAACGAAAACAAGAUUGAUCCGUGACUCCCCUCCUCCUUUCUCUCUUUUUCUGCGUUGGUAUUUUUGUUUGGUUUAUGCCCUUUUUUUGUUACUCUGUGUAUUUUUGGUUCUGUUUUUGGUUCCUCUGUUUUUCUGGGAUUGCCUUGCUUUCUCCCCCUGUUUUAUUUUACUGCCCCUGCCUUCCCCUGUUUGUGCUGGGUUUUUCUUGUUCAAUCUCCUGGGUUUUGCCCCUUUGGUUCUGUUUCAUUUCUCUGUUUAUGCUGGGUUUUCUCCUCCUCCUGGUGUCUUCUUCGUCCUGCCUUUUAUAAGGCGAGAGACCUUCAAAAAACCAUCACCUCCACCUACGGGAUUGUGGCAAUCGUGGCAGAAGACAUGGUCACGAUUUGGAUCGGAUGCACUGGGAUUUUCCUGUUGAAUCGGCUGCCCUGGCGAAAUGGAAGGGAUGACGAACAGUAUUAUUGCAAACGGCACCGUUUAACAAUUUUCAAUUUGACCCCUGAACUUUGGCAAUUUCGCAAUUGGACCCCUGAAUAAAAAUUUCUUUUAAUUUUGCCCUAUUUGGAUAAAUUUCA